rnacentral:rRNA from 1 species
GGGUUGUGAGGUUAAGCGACUAAGCGUACACGGUGGAUGCCCUGGCAGUCAGAGGCGAUGAAGGACGUGCUAAUCUGCGAUAAGCGCCGGUAAGGUGAUAUGAACCGUUAUAACCGGCGAUUUCCGAAUGGGGAAACCCAGUGUGAUUCGUCACACUAUCAUUAACUGAAUCCAUAGGUUAAUGAGGCGAACCGGGGGAACUGAAACAUCUAAGUACCCCGAGGAAAAGAAAUCAACCGAGAUUCCCCCAGUAGCGGCGAGCGAACGGGGAGGAGCCCAGAGCCUGAAUCAGCAUGUGUGUUAGUGGAAGCGUCUGGAAAGGCGCGCGAUACAGGGUGACAGCCCCGUACACAAAAGCGCAUGUGCUGUGAGCUCGAUGAGUAGGGCGGGACACGUGGUAUCCUGUCUGAAUAUGGGGGGACCAUCCUCCAAGGCUAAAUACUCCUGACUGACCGAUAGUGAACCAGUACCGUGAGGGAAAGGCGAAAAGAACCCCGGCGAGGGGAGUGAAAAAGAACCUGAAACCGUGUACGUACAAGCAGUGGGAGCACAGGUUUACCUGUGUGACUGCGUACCUUUUGUAUAAUGGGUCAGCGACUUAUAUUCUGUAGCAAGGUUAACCGUAUAGGGGAGCCGCAGGGAAACCGAGUC